rnacentral:tRNA from 1 species
GCCUUCGUGGUGUAGUGGUCAGCACGCUCGACGCGUAACCGAGAGGUCCGUGGUUCGAUUCCCCGAGAAGGCG